AAUACCCUAUUAUUCUGAAUGUAAAUUUUAAUAUUAGUAUAAGUUAAGUUCUUGAAAGUAAAAAAAUUUGGCGGUAUUUUAGUCUUUUCAGAGGAACCUGCUCUUUAAACGAUAUUCCACGAUUAAUAAAACUUAUUUUUUGUUUGUAUAUCGUCGUAGUUGAUUAUUUUACAAGAAUGUUAAUAGUCUUUGUCUUUGAGGAUGGAAAUCAGAUCAAGGUGCAGUUUAAAUAAGUAGAGGUGGGUUACAAUAAGUUUAUUUAUACGGAUUUUAAUAUAAAAUAUUAUUUGAAGGUGGAUUUGAAAGUAAUUUUGUUUAUUUAAAUAAAAUGAUUUAGCUCUAGAAUAUGUACAUAUCGCCCGUCACUCUCAUAAAAAUUGAGAUAAGUCGUAACAUAGUAGAUGUACUGGAAAGUGUAUCUGGUUUGUCAAAUUAGAGCUUUGAUAAGCGUUUUAUUUACAUUAAAGAGUUAAUUGGUAAUCAGUUUAAUGAAUUUAUGAAUUUAUUUUUUUAUAUUUUAUUUUAUAGUUAAAAAAAGUAUUUUAUUCAUUUAUUUUAAUUAAUUUGAUUUUUUAAUAUUUAGUACUGUGAAGGAGGUUGUAAAAAUUUUAAUAAGAAGUUUAUUUAAUGUACCUUGUGUAUCAGGGUUUAUUAAUUAAUAAUUAGGUAUUUAAUUUUCCCGAAUUUUAAAGAGUUAACUAAAUUUAUGUUUUAUUGUUAAAUAAAUAUUCUUAAUAUUUAGUUAGAAAUGAAAUGUUAUUCGUUUUUUAAUAUAUCUGGUUCUUGAAGAAAUAAAUUUAAUUUACUGUCUAAUAAUAAAUUAUUUAUUUUAAUAAAUAAUUUAUUUUAUAUUUAUAUAUAUAAAGGGAUAAGCUUUUAUAUAAAUUUUUAUAAAAUAAAUAUUGUUGCUUUGUAGUAGGGUUAGAAAUUUCUUUCUUUAGUUUGUUAUAAUUAAUAAGGGGUUUUAUUUUAUUUAUUUAUUUUUAAGUUUUUUAUUUAGGAAAUUUAUUUAAUUUUAAUUUAUUUGUUAUAAUGAUUUAAUUAGUAUAAAGUUAUGUAAAAUUAGUUUUUAAUUUUAGGUAAGAAAAAGGAAUUAGGCAAUUUAUUCUUUUUGCCUGUUUAUUAAAAACAUGUCCUUUUGAUAAAAAUAUAAGGUCUGACCUGCCCUAUGAUUAAUUAAAUGGCCGCAGUAUUUUGACUGUGCGAAGGUAGCAUAAUCAUUAGUUUCUUGAUUAGGAACUGGAAUGAAUGGUUUGACAAAAAAGAUACUGUCUCUUUUUUAUUUUUAGAAUUUUAUUUUUGAGUUAAAAAGCUUAAAUUUUUUUAAAAGACAGAGAAGACCCUAUAGAUUUUUA
rnacentral:rRNA from 1 species